rnacentral:rRNA from 1 species
CGUACAGGUCUCCGUAGGUGAACCUGCGGAGGGAUCAUUACAAGAACGCCCGGGCUACGGCCUGGUUAUUCAUAACCCUUUGUUGUCCGACUCUGUUGCCUCCGGGGCGACCCUGCCUUCGGGCGGGGGCUCCGGGUGGACACUUCAAACUCUUGCGUAACUUUGCAGUCUGAGUAAACUUAAUUAAUAAAUUAAAACUUUUAACAACGGAUCUCUUGGUUCUGGCAUCGAUGAAGAACGCAGCGAAAUGCGAUAAGUAAUGUGAAUUGCAGAAUUCAGUGAAUCAUCGAAUCUUUGAACGCACAUUGCGCCCCCUGGUAUUCCGGGGGGCAUGCCUGUUCGAGCGUCAUUUCACCACUCAAGCCUCGCUUGGUAUUGGGCAACGCGGUCCGCCGCGUGCCUCAAAUCGUCCGGCUGGGUCUUCUGUCCCCUAAGCGUUGUGGAAACUAUUCGCUAAAGGGUGUUCGGGAGGCUACGCCGUAAAACAACCCUAUUUCUAAGGUUGACCUCGGAUCAGGUAGGGAUACCCGCUGAACUUAAGCAUAUCA